rnacentral:rRNA from 1 species
UACGUAGGGUGCAAGCGUUGUCCGGCAUUAUUGGGCGUAAAGAGCUCGUAGUCGGUCUGUCACGUCGGAUGUGAAAAUCCAGGGCUCAACCCUGGACCUGCAUUCGAUACGGGCAGACUAGAAUUCGGUAGGGGAGACUGGAAUUCCUGGUGUAGCGGUGAAAUGCGCAGAGAUCAGGAGGAACAGCGGUGGCGAAGGCGUGUCUCUGGGCCGAUAUUGACGCUGAGGAGCGAAAGCGUGGGGAGCGAACAGG